UACAGAGGUCUCAAGCGUUGUUCGGAUUCAUUGGGCGUAAAGGGCGCGUAGGCGGCUUGGCAAGUGGAAGGUGAAAUCCCUCGGCUUAACCGAGGAACUGCCCUCCAAACUGCUUCGCUUGAGACCGGGAGAGGUGAGUGGAAUUCCCAGUGUAGCGGUGAAAUGCGUAGAUAUUGGGAGGAACACCAGUGGCGAAGGCGGCUCACUGGACCGGUACUGACGCUGAGGCGCGAAAGCGUGGGGAGCAAACGGG
rnacentral:rRNA from 1 species